rnacentral:rRNA from 1 species
UUCUUAAAGAUUUUAUUUUAAGUAACACCUGCUCAAUGAGCUUUAAAUAGCCGCAGAAAUUUAACUGUGCUAAGGUAGCAUAAUCAUUAGUCCCCUAAUUAGGGACUUGUAUGAAAGGUGAAACAUUUUAAUUUCUUUAUUAAUAUAUUUAUAUUUUUAAUUUAAAUUAAAAAUAAAAAUGUUUUUAUAAAUAAAUUAGACGACAAGACCCUAUUGAACUUUACUUUUGUUUAGCUGGGGCAGCUAAAAAAUGAUUAUUUUUUUAAAAAAAAUAAAAUAAAUGAUCCAAUAAAAUUGAUUAAUUGAUCAAGUUACCAUAGGGAUAACAGCGUAAUAUUUUAUUAAAGAUCUUAUUUUCUAAAAUGAUUGCGACCUCGAUGUUGAAUUAUUGUAACUUUAUAAAUGCAGCAGUUUUAAAAGUGGGUCUGUUCGACCCUUAAUACAUUACAU